rnacentral:rRNA from 1 species
AGCAGUAGGGAAUCUUCGGCAAUGGACGAAAGUCUGACCGAGCAACGCCGCGUGAGUGAAGAAGGUUUUCGGAUCGUAAAACUCUGUUGUUAGAGAAGAACAAGGAUGAGAGUAAAAUGUUCAUCCCCUGACGGUAUCUAACCAGAAAGCGACGGCUAACUACGUGCCAGCAGCCGCGGUAAUACGUAGGUGGCAAGCGUUGUCCGGAUUUAUUGGGCGUAAAGCGAGCGCAGGCGGUUUCUUAAGUCUGAUGUGAAAGGCCCCGGCUCAACCGGGGAGGGUCANUGGAAACUGGGAGACUUGAGUGCAGAAGAGGAGAGUGGAAUUCCAUGUGUAGCGGUG